rnacentral:misc_RNA from 1 species
AUGCGAUACGUAAUGUGAAUUGCAGAAUUCAGUGAAUCAUCGAAUCUUUGAACGCAUAUUGCGCUCUUUGGUAUUCCGAAGAGCAUGCUUGUUUGAGUAUCAGUAAACACCUCAAAUCUUUUUUUUUUUUAAAAAAAAAAAGUUUUGGACUUGAGCAAUCCCAACACCAAUCUUUUUUAGAUCGGUGGCGGGUUGCUUGAAAUGCAGGUGCAGCUGGACAUUCUCCUGAGCUAAAAGCAUAUUUAUUUAGUCCCGUCAAACGGAUUAUUACUUUUGCUGCAGCUAAUAUAAAGGGAGUUUGACCGUAUUGGCUGACUGAUGCAGGAUUUCACAAGGGUCGGCAACGAUUCUUGUAAAACUCGAUCUCAAAUCAAGUAAGACUACCCGCUGAACUUAA